rnacentral:rRNA from 1 species
UGGGGAAUUUUGGACAAUGGGCGCAAGCCUGAUCCAGCAAUGCCGCGUGCAGGAUGAAGGCCUUCGGGUUGUAAACUGCUUUUGUACGGAGCGAAAAGGUCUGCCCUAAUACGGUGGGCUCAUGACGGUACCGUAAGAAUAAGCACCGGCUAACUACGUGCCAGCAGCCGCGGUAAUACGUAGGGUGCGAGCGUUAAUCGGAAUUACUGGGCGUAAAGCGUGCGCAGGCGGUUAUGUAAGACAGAGGUGAAAUCCCCGGGCUCAACCUGGGAACUGCCUUUGUGACUGCAUGGCUAGAGUGCGGCAGAGGGGGAUGGAAUUCCGCGUGUAGCAGUGAAAUGCGUAGAUAUGCGGAGGAACACCGAUGGCGAAGGCAAUCCCCUGGACCUGUACUGACGCUCAUGCACGAAAGCGUGGGGAGCAAACA